AAAUGCCCAGGACGUGUACAUCCACUGUCUCAGUGCUGAGGUGCUAGAGACACUGGAUGACAGCUUGAUUUGAUUCGAGAUGGAAUAAAUUGCAUGUAAGAAAAGCUAAAAACCUCAAACCACAGUGAGGUGACACAAAAGAGAUAUAAAAAGGGCAGGCAGACCGUUGGCAACAAACUUGUCACAACGGUCCAGAAAUGGCGGAAUCGACGAUUUCCAUUUCUGAUGGCACAUACAUGGAUCUCACCUCUCCAGACCAUAACGUGUACGCAUCAUUGGGUGCGAGACCGAGCAAAACAGGACAAAGCUCUCCUCUCUACAGACAGGCUGCAGUGGCUCUGGGGCUGCUGUGUGUCAUCUUACUGACUGCCACCAUCACCCUUUGUGUCCUCUAU